UAUGCUUACAGAUCUAUGACAAAAGUAUGAGCUCAAACUGACAUAGCCUACCUUGUGCACAGAGAAAGCAAAAGCCAGAUGUGUUUUUCAUUCAUACCAUCAGUGUGUAGUUGGUGCAUUGUGUACUUAUUAAUUUGAUGGCUUGUGUUUACUGUCUGAUACAAAAAUACCAUUUUUACAAAUGUGUGGUGAGUUAAGCAAAGGUUAUUCGCUUUUACAAGAAAACUACAAUGUUUUGCUGAUUGGGUGAAGAGUUUUCUUAUUUGUGUGUAGAGUUUUGCAAAAAUAACCAAUAGUUAC